UACAGAGGGUGCAAACGUUGCUCGGAAUUACUGGGCGUAAAGCGUGCGUAGGCGGUUUGUUAAGUCCGCUGUGAAAGCCCUGGGCUCAACCUGGGAAUUGCAGUGGAUACUGGCAAGCUAGAGUGCGGUAGAGGAUGGUGGAAUUCCCGGUGUAGCGGUGAAAUGCGUAGAUAUCGCUUGGAACGCCGAAGGUGAAAACAGGCUGCUGGGGUUGCGCCGACGCUGAGACACGAAAGCCAGGGGAGCAAACGGG
rnacentral:rRNA from 1 species